rnacentral:rRNA from 1 species
UACGUAGGGGCCAAGCGUUGUUCGGAUUUACUGGGCGUAAAGGGCGCGUAGGCGGCAAUUCAAGUCAGCUGUGAAAUCUCCGGGCUUAACUCGGAACGGUCAGCUGAUACUGCUUUGCUAGAGUGCAGAAGGGGCAAUCGGAAUUCUUGGUGUAGCGGUGAAAUGCGUAGAUAUCAAGAGGAACACCUGAGGUGAAGACGGGUUGCUGGGCUGACACUGACGCUGAGGCGCGAAAGCUAGGGUAGCAAACAGG